ensembl:lncRNA
CCCAGGCCAUGGUUCCUCAUAAAGCUUUGUUUAAUUUUCUCUUGCUAUUCUGUCUCAGGUGAAUUUAAUUCGUUCUCCAGCCAGACGAACCCACAUUUGGGGAGAGGAAAUGUCCUCCUCCCCUACAGAGGUGACCUUUCACAUGAGGGAUUUAUAUCCUCAGAGGUCAGAGAUCUAAGCAAGAGAAAGACAGACAAAUCCAUUGAAAGCACAUUCUAAAAAAUACCUGACCAGUGUGCCUCAAAACUGUCAAGGUCAUCACAAAGAAGAAAUCUGAGCCAAGUGGAGCCUAAGGGGACAUGAGGAUGGAAUGUGAUCUCCUGAUGGGACUCCGGAACAGAAAGAGGACAGUAGGAUAAAAAAGAAAAAAAAUUAAGGAAAUCUAAAUAAACUAUGGACUAUGGCUAAUAAUAAUAAUAAAAAUAUUGGUUCAUUAAUUGUAACAAAUGUACCAUACUAAUGUAAGAUAUUAAUAAUAGGGGAAACUGGGCCCGGGGUACAAUGGAAACUGUACUAUCUUUCCAGUUUUUCUGUAAAUCUCAAAUUGUUCUAAAAGUGAAAGGUUAUUUAAAAAAAAAAAAGUUCUAGCUUGGUAAAUUCUUAGAAAUCCAGUGAAUGGGAGUGCAUCCCAUUGCCCAUCCCCACCCAUAGGACGUCCAUAGUCAAAGGAACUGAAUCUACCAUUAUUAACGCACAUAUGCCUAGUCUUUGUGUUCUGUGAUAUUCAAAAUUUUCUCUAAACAGCUCAUCCAAUCUCAUUCUUUGCACUCAGUGAGGGUCUGAAUGUCUUUCCCCGAGUCCUGUGGAGGGAGGAAUUCUUGCCUCAAAAUCCUGUUUUCCUUUUUCAUCAUCCCCACCCUCCACCCUCCACCCUGAUUACCAUUUGCUUUCAUGUCAACUCCCUCUAUGCUGGCCCCUCAGCCUUUCCAUCCCUCCCACAGAUGGCAUUUGUAAUCGUGGAAGUGGGAACCUCGACCUUGGCCGUCGACCCGCCUGUGGCCCGCCCAGACCUGUCUUAGCUAAGAAUCCUGCUAAGCCACCCCUCCACCUUUGAUACUCACCACCCUGUAUCUGAUCAAAUUUCUCAUCCCACACAGUUUAAUGUCCAAGUCCUCCAACUGCCUUUAGCAGGAAUCCUGCGAGGCCGGUUUAGUAAGAAUUCCUCACCCCUGGCAUCUCCUCUUGUACUUUCCCAUCCGCUGACCCCUCUCUCUGCUCCGUGGCUGUAAAUUCCCAUUUCUCCUUGUUGUAUUUGGAGUUGAGAUCAAUCUGUCUCCUCUACUGAGAUCAACUUGACCCUGAAGGCAUUCGGAAAUGCCCCCCCAAACUGUGCUGUUCUGGCAUAUUGACUAUUUUGAGUUAAAGGCAUUGAAAACACAGAAAAUACAAGAAAAACACUCUAUGACCUUCCUUCUUUUCCUUAAAAGCAGGAGAUGAAAUUCCCAUAUGAAAAAUGUCUUUCCUAUCCAGAAGGAAAGCCACAUUCUUGUCAUCAAGGACUAAAAGCUAAGAGAGAAUUCCAAAGCAUUUAAGAAGGUCCAAACAGAUCUUGAAAUAACUAUCUUCCCUGAGCCUCCCC